UGGGAUUUUUGCACUCAUCGCAUUAUAUUCUGUUAUACUUCGUAUCAUUUAUAAGAAAGAAUCUGUUAGAAAGAGAAAUAAUUAUAGACAAAACGUCAAUGUACAACACGGUUAAGGAAAUACAAACAACCCAGAUGGAUCAACUUACACUGAUGUUGAAUCUUACAGCACAAAUCUUGAUUCAACAAUGACAAGCAACCAACAACAGACUAAUGAGGAAGAACCAACAAUCAAGGAGAACAAAUCAACUGUUCCCGCUGAAAUCCGUACAAGGCGGAAAUCAAAAACUGUUCAAAUCCUAUGUCGAAUAAUGCACAAACAUCGAUUCUUUAUAAUGUUUUUCCUUAUAGCGAUUUUAUCUUGUAUUUCUUAUCUCCCUAGAUUUGCCCUGAUGAUUGCAGGAUCUGUGAUAUCUAAUUUCUGGUAUGAGUUAACAGAUGUGGAAUACUUCAUAGCUUUAUGUUUUUUACAGAGGAUAUCUUUUAAAUACUGCUGUUAAUCCUGUCAUAUAUUUGGUUUUCGACACGGACUUUAGGUCUUCGUGCAAACAACUAUGUUGUAGAAAUUGAUGAGACCAUAUAAAAUUCGAACGGAUAGAAUAGUUUUUUUCAAUUGUCAUUUUUAUUCUUUCUUUGAAAGGUGUAGACCGCUAUAUCCACAGUAUUCUAAUAUCCAGCGUUUGUGCCUUAAUUUUUUAAAUAAGAUUUACUUAUUUAAAAUAUUAUGAGACAUAGCAUACAUAUUCAGAUAUAAGGGUCUUUUUAUUCAAUUUCCUACUUUUCAACUCACUCUUCAAACA
rnacentral:lncRNA from 1 species